rnacentral:rRNA from 1 species
ACGAACGCUGGCGGCGUGCUUAACACAUGCAAGUCGAACGGUGAAGCGCCUUCCUUUUUGGUGGGUGUGGAUGAGUGGCGAACGGGUGAGUAACACGUGAGUAACCUGCCCCCUUCUUCUGGAUAACCGCAUGAAAGUGUGGCUAAUACGGGAUAUUCUGGGUCUGUCGCAUGAUGGGUCUGGGAAAGAUAUUGUUUCGGUGGGGGAUGGGCUCGCGGCCUAUCAGCUUGUUGGUGGGGUGAUGGCCUACCAAGGCGGUGACGGGUAGCCGGCCUGAGAGGGUGGACGGUCACACUGGGACUGAGGCACGGCCCAGACUCCUGCGGGAGGCAGCAGUGGGGAAUAUUGCACAAUGGGCGCAAGCCUGAUGCAGCGACGCCGCGUGAGGGAUGGAGGCCUUCGGGUUGUGAACCUCUUUCGCCAGUGAAGCAGGCCUGCCUCGUUUGUGGGUGGGUUGACGGUAGCUGGAUAAGAAGCGCCGGCUAACUACGUG